GCAUUCCCGGCGGCUCCGGGUUUGGCAACGAGGACGGGGGAGUGCGACUGCGUCUCGGGCAGCAUGGCCGAGAAGCGGCACACACGGGACUCCGAAGCCCAGCGGCUCCCCGACUCCUUCAAGGAAACUUGAACUCCAAGCAUUUGGCCUCACAUUUCAGAAGAUUAUCCUUGAAGAUACAACCAAUAAAGUCCUAAAGUCUCAGACAAUGAAAACUAUACUGAACUUGUGGUCCAGUUAAAGUGAGCACUAUGACAGCCCCAGUAAGGGCCUUGGACCUUGCGGAUGGAUUUUGGUGGCGUUCUCAUUCUUAUUCACCGUUAUAACUUUCCCAAUCUCAAUAUGGAUGUGCAUAAAGAUUAUAAAAGAGUAUGAAAGAGCCAUCAUCUUUAGAUUGGGUCGCAUUUUACAAGGAGGAGCCAAAGGACCUGGUUUGUUUUUUAUUCUGCCAUGCACUGACAGCUUCAUCAAAGUGGACAUGAGAACUAUUUCAUUUGAUAUUCCUCCUCAGGAGAUCCUCACAAAGGAUUCAGUGACAAUUAGCGUGGAUGGUGUGGUCUAUUACCGCGUUCAGAAUGCAACCCUGGCUGUGGCAAAUAUCACCAACGCUGACUCAGCAACCCGUCUUUUGGCACAAACUACUCUGAGGAAUGUUCUGGGCACCAAGAAUCUUUCUCAGAUCCUCUCUGACAGAGAAGAAAUUGCACACAACAUGCAGUCUACUCUGGAUGAUGCCACUGAUGCCUGGGGAAUAAAGGUGGAGCGUGUGGAAAUUAAGGAUGUGAAACUACCUGUGCAGCUCCAGAGAGCUAUGGCUGCAGAAGCAGAAGCGUCCCGCGAGGCCCGCGCCAAGGUUAUUGCAGCCGAAGGAGAAAUGAAUGCAUCCAGGGCUCUGAAAGAAGCCUCCAUGGUCAUCACUGAAUCUCCUGCAGCCCUUCAGCUCCGAUACCUGCAGACACUGACCACCAUUGCUGCUGAGAAAAACUCAACAAUUGUCUUCCCUCUGCCCAUAGAUAUGCUGCAAGGAAUCAUAGGGGCAAAACACAGCCAUCUAGGCUAGUGUAGAGAUGAGCGCUAGCCUUCCAAGCAUGAAGUCGGGGACCAAAUUAGCCUUUAACUCAUAAAGAGAGGGUAGGGCUUUUCUUUUUCCAUAUGUCAAUUGUGGUGUUCCCAGAAUGUAUAGCAGUUAUAAAAAUAGGUGAAAGAAUUGUUAGCUUGUAAAUACUGAGAGAUUGGUGAUUUAUAUAAGGUAAUCUGUUAGUCUUAAAAUAGUUAAAAGUUUGUAUUUUUAGAUUAUUAUGUAGUAGGUUAGAUCCCUCUUGUUUUGACUUCCACUGACUCAUUCUGAACCCCCUAAGCACCCAGGCCAGAGGCAAGAACCUGGGCUGUAACUGCCACCUGACACCGCUGACUGGCUAAAUGCUUUGCAGAAAGUGAUGACCUUACACCACAACCAGCUUCUCCAGGUCAUAUGUGCCUUACCUCCAGAGAGUCUUUUUUUUUUUUUUUCUGAGAUGGAGUUUCACUCUUGUUGCCCAGGCUGGAGUGCAAUAGCAUGAUCUCGGCUCACUGCAACCUCCGCCUCCUGGGUUCAAGAGAUUCUCCUGCCUCAGCCUCCCCAGUAGCUGGGAUUACAGGCUCAUGCCACCAUGCCCAGCUAAUUUUUGUAUUAUUAUUAUUGUUUUUUAGUAGAGACGGGGUUUCACCAUGUUGGCCAGGCUAGUCACGAACUCCUAACCUCAGGUGAUCCACCCACCUCUGCCUCCCAAAGUGCUGGGAUUACAGGCAUGAGCUACCACACCUGGUUUGGAGAGUCUUAAUUAAGGAAAUUUCCCUAAUGUUCAUUUAUUUUCUAAAUCCAGACCGUGUUUCAGAAUAAUCCUUACUUGAGAGUAGCCAUUUUCUUGCCUGUACUUGUCAGAACUAGAGGAAAUAGCCAAGACUAAUGAAAAAGAUUACUCUAACCCUUAAAAGACUUUUAAAUUCACUACUAGAGUGGUCAUUUUAAAAAUACAUCCAUGUUUUAACUUAUUUGAGCCUUCUUUAUGAGUAAAUGAUUCCUCCUUGUUCUGUCUUUCAAACCAGCUAAAUAUUUGUCACAAAAGUGCUUUUUUCUCACUGUUGCCUAUUUUCAUAUAUCAGGUUUUAAAUAGUUUUAAUUUUUUAAUAAAAUUUUCUCUACGUUCUAUAUGCAAUUGUUAUAUAUCUAUUUGAAUAGCUGAAGGACUAAAAUACUUUUUUAAGAGAUAACUUCAGGAAACCAUUAUAUUUUACUAUCUGCAUGCUGUUAACUGUGGUACACUGUGAAAUAUGUUGAUUACAAACCCAUUCAUUACAUAGUAUAAGGAAUUCACAGUAUAUUGACUAUAUAGUGUCUAAUGAUCUUGGGCAGAUACUGUCAAACUUACAAUAUCUAUAUAGAUGUAGGUCUUUUUAAAUUUACCUAGUCAUUCUUCUAUCAUGUAUAUUGAUGCUGAAAGAGGAACUGGUCAGCUCCUCUGGACAACAAAUUCUUAGUCUAUAAUAUUAGGAGACAUCUUCUGUUUUGCAAAUGUCUGUGAAUCUGAGCAACCUGGCAUUCUGCUUACUGGCCAGAAAGCUGGCGGGUGACAUUUGUAACAUUUCCUCUUUGAGACUCUGAGUUCACCUAGAGAAGUCUAAGCAUAACAGCUUUCUUUCCCAGCACGAGCCUUUAUAGCUCUCUUUAGCUCAACCACUCUGUCCAUCCAGCCAAUGGAUGUCCCUUCCCCUGUACCCCAAUUUCAAGCUUAUUUUAGGAAGCCUUGAACUACCAUGUAUCCUGGCUCCUAGCUGAGUUUAUUAGAGGUAUGGAGCAGUGCAACUUAAACUCAAGUUGCACUUACAUUUUGAAUUUUAAAAUGAUGGUUUUAUCUGUUGUGUGAAGUGGUUCACCCUUGAGGACCAGGAGCCUCCAUAUCCUGACUGAAAACCUUUUCUGAGACUUAGAGUAACAGUGCUUUUGGUUCCUUGAGUUCUCCUGUCUCCAGAUACCAAAUGACCUUGACUUUUCUGCCUUGUGAAUUCGUAGUCCAAUCAGCUGAAAUUAAAUCACUUGGGAGGGACGCAUAGAAGGAGCUCUAGGAACACAGUGCCAGUGCAGAAGUUUCUCCAGGUGGCCUCCCUUUCCAACAAUGUACAUAAUAAAGUGUAUGCACUUUCACUAAUAUUUUUGGGGUGAGAGUCUGUUUCGGCCUGUAUUGAAUGUCUGUGGAUUUCCGUUUUCAGAAGUAGUACAUUAGAUCCUCCGGUUCUGA